GUGACCUUAUGCUCAGAAGUCACCCCUAAGGUCUUGAAGGCUUUCUCUGUCUCAGUCAACCAGUACUCAACAUCUUCAAAAGAAGAUCCCCCUGCAAAAAUGGAUGGAUUUAGUCUCUUGUACCUCUCUAUGUAGUCCGGGACAAUCGUGAGAGGAAUUGGGUCCCGUGGAAAAGGGACUGGACCAUGUUGAUGGUAGACUGGAGGGCCCUAUGGUGGUACUUGUUGAUACGGCGGGGGCACCGGAUUAUACUGUGGCGGUGGUACCAGGUGGUACUGUGAAGGAGCAGGGUCAUACCAGGGUGGCUCAACCUGUGGUAAUGGGGGAGGGUCAGGUAGCUCCCUCCUCUCCUCUCGGCCCUGCUGGGCUGCAAAGAGUCUUUCUAACAACUCAAAUAUCUUGUCCACAUCUUCUCU
rnacentral:lncRNA from 1 species